rnacentral:rRNA from 1 species
CCUACGGGCGGCAGCAGUGAGGAAUAUUGGUCAAUGGACGAGAGUCUGAACCAGCCAAGUAGCGUGAAGGAUGACUGCCCUAUGGGUUGUAAACUUCUUUUAUAUGGGAAUAAAACGUUCCACGUGUGGGCUUUUGUAUGUACCAUAUGAAUAAGGAUCGGCUAACUCCGUGCCAGCAGCCGCGGUAAUACGGAGGAUCCGAGCGUUAUCCGGAUUUAUUGGGUUUAAAGGGAGCGUAGGUGGAUUGUUAAGUCAGUUGUGAAAGUUUGCGGCGCAACCGUAAAAUUGCAGUUGAAACUGGCAGUCUUGAGUACAGUAGAGGUGGGCGGAAUUCGUGGUGUAGCGGUGAAAUGCUUAGAUAUCACGAAGAACUCCGAUUGCGAAGGCAGCUCACUGGACUGCAACUGACACUGAGGCUCAAAAGUGUGGGUAUCAAACAGGAUUAGAUACCCGGGUAGUC